AUAAUCUAGAUUACUUCUUGAUGAUAAUUUAGACUACCAAUCUAAAAAGCAUACCAAAUAUAAUAAUCUAAUGGGACUCUUUUAAAUUACCAACGAUCUAGUUAGAUUGUCAACUACCAAACGCAACCUAAAUUCUAUGUUGCACUUGCAGUAGAAACAGAAUUUUUAUAAUUAAUACAUCAAAUCUGAACCCCAAGCCUCAUAGUGUUG
rnacentral:lncRNA from 1 species